CUCUAGCUCUAGUUUUGAAAAGUCUUGGCCCCCAACCUAAAAAAAAAAUAUAUAUAAAAAAAAAAAAAAAAAAAAAGAAAGAAAAGGGGGCUAGCAAAGUUGUUAGGAGCUAAGAAAUGUUUUGAGGUUGUAGAAAAAUCCCUUGUAGAUUUCAAAAAGAAAGAGUUAAAGUUCUUAGGAUCUUUUGGUGAGAGAUGUGAGUUGGGUUUG
rnacentral:lncRNA from 1 species